GAUGAAGAACGCAGCGAAAUGCGAUAAGUAAUGUGAAUUGCAGAAUUCAGUGAAUCAUCGAAUCUUUGAACGCACAUUGCGCCCAUUAGUAUUCUAGUGGGCAUGCCUGUUCGAACGUCAUUAAUUCCACUUAAGCCCUGCUUAGUGUUGGGAAUCUACUCUAGUGGUGCUACCCUGGAGCUACCCCUGAAAGGGGGCUGGCCCGGUAGCUACCCUGUAGUUCCUCAAAGAUAGUGCGCGGAGUUGCGUGGUCCUCUGAGCUUAGUAACUAUACACCUAGCUUUUGAGUGUCCCGCGGCGCCUGCCGUUUAAACCCCAUCUUUUAAUGGUUGACCUCGGAUCAGGUAGGAAUACCCGCUGAACUUAAGCAUAUCAAUAAGCGGAGGA
rnacentral:misc_RNA from 1 species